GGGCCCGCACAAGCGGUGGAUUAUGUGGAUUAAUUCGAUGCAACGCGAAAAACCUUACCUGGCCUUGACAUGUACCGAAUUUAGCAGAGAUGCUUUAGUGCUCGUAAGAGAACGGUAACACAGGUGCUGCAUGGCUGUCGUCAGCUCGUGUCGUGAGAUGUUGGGUUAAGUCCCGCAACGAGCGCAACCCUUGCCAUUAAUUGCCAUCAUUUAGUUGGGCACUUUAAUGGGACUGCCGGUGACAAACCGGAGGAAGGUGGGGAUGACGUCAAGUCCUCAUGGCCCUUAUGGCCAGGGCUUCACACGUAAUACAAUGGUCGGUACAGAGGGCUGCUAACCCGCGAGGGGGUGCUAAUCUCAGAAAACCGAUCGUAGUCCGGAUUGUUGUCUGCAACUCGACAGCAUGAAGUCGGAAUCGCUAGUAAUCGCGGAUC
rnacentral:rRNA from 1 species